UCUACAGGCUUAACACAUGCAAGUCGAGGGGCAGCAUUUUAGUUUGCUUGCAAACUAAAGAUGGCGACCGGCGCACGGGUGAGUAACACGUAUCCAACCUGCCGAUAACUCGGGGAUAGCCUUUCGAAAGAAAGAUUAAUAUCCGAUAGUAUAUUAAAACCGCAUGGUUUUACUAUUAAAGAAUUUCGGUUAUCGAUGGGGAUGCGUUCCAUUAGUUUGUUGGCGGGGUAACGGCCCACCAAGACAACGAUGGAUAGGGGUUCUGAGAGGAAGGUCCCCCACAUUGGAACUGAGACACGGUCCAAACUCCUACGGGAGGCAGCAGUGAGGAAUAUUGGUCAAUGGACGAGAGUCUGAACCAGCCAAGUAGCGUGAAGGAUGACUGCCCUAUGGGUUGUAAACUUCUUUUAUAUGGGAAUAAAGUAUUCCACGUGUGGGAUUUUGUAUGUACCAUAUGAAUAAGGAUCGGCUAACUCCGUGCCAGCAGCCGCGGUAAUACGGAGGAUCCGAGCGUUAUCCGGAUUUAUUGGGUUUAAAGGGAGCGUAGGUGGAUUGUUAAGUCAGUUGUGAAAGUUUGCGGCUCAACCGUAAAAUUGCAGUUGAAACUGGCAGUCUUGAGUACAGUAGAGGUGGGCGGAAUUCGUGGUGUAGCGGUGAAAUGCUUAGAUAUCACGAAGAACUCCGAUUGCGAAGGCAGCUCACUAGACUGCAACUGACACUGAUGCUCGAAAGUGUGGGUAUCAAACAGGAUUAGAUACCCUGGUAGUCCACACAGUAAACGAUGAAUACUCGCUGUUUGCGAUAUACAGUAAGCGGCCAAGCGAAAGCAUUAAGUAUUCCACCUGGGGAGUACGCCGGCAACGGUGAAACUCAAAGGAAUUGACGGGGGCCCGCACAAGCGGAGGAACAUGUGGUUUAAUUCGAUGAUACGCGAGGAACCUUACCCGGGCUUAAAUUGCAUUUGAAUAAUCUGGAAACAGGUUAGCCGCAAGGCAAAUGUGAAGGUGCUGCAUGGUUGUCGUCAGCUCGUGCCGUGAGGUGUCGGCUUAAGUGCCAUAACGAGCGCAACCCUUAUCUUUAGUUACUAACAGGUCAUGCUGAGGACUCUAGAGAGACUGCCGUCGUAAGAUGUGAGGAAGGUGGGGAUGACGUCAAAUCAGCACGGCCCUUACGUCCGGGGCUACACACGUGUUACAAUGGGGGGUACAGAAGGCAGCUACCUGGCGACAGGAUGCUAAUCCCAAAAACCUCUCUCAGUUCGGAUCGAAGUCUGCAACCCGACUUCGUGAAGCUGGAUUCGCUAGUAAUCGCGCAUCAGCCAUGGCGCGGUGAAUACGUUCCCGGGCCUUGUACACACCGCCCGUCAAGCCAUGAAAGCCGGGGGUACCUGAAGUACGUAAACGCAAGGAGCGUCCUAGGGUAAAACUGGUAAUUG
rnacentral:rRNA from 1 species